rnacentral:rRNA from 1 species
GACGAACGCUGGCGGCGUGCCUAAUACAUGCAAGUAGAACGCUGAAGGAGGAGCUUGCUCUUCUGGAUGAGUUGCGAACGGGUGAGUAACGCGUAGGUAACCUGCCUGGUAGCGGGGGAUAACUAUUGGAAACGAUAGCUAAUACCGCAUAACAGUAGAUGUUGCAUGACAUUUACUUAAAAGGUGCAAUUGCAUCACUACCAGAUGGACCUGCGUUGUAUUAGCUAGUUGGUGGGGUAACGGCUCACCAAGGCGACGAUACAUAGCCGACCUGAGAGGGUGAUCGGCCACACUGGGACGGAGACACGGCCCAGACUCCUACGGGAGGCAGCAGUAGGGAAUCUUCGGCAAUGGACGGAAGUCUGACCGAGCAACGCCGCGUGAGUGAAGAAGGGUGUCGGAUCGUAAAGCUCUGUUGUAAGAGAAGAACGAGUGUGAGAGUGGAAAGUUCACACUGUGACGGUAGCUUACCAGAAAGGGACGGCUAACUACGUG